UAAAGGAUACAUCUCAUUACUCUUUUAAACAGUUGAGAAUGACUCGCACAUUCAACUGAACUCUAAGUUCAAAGUUAUCCUUUUUUAAACGCCCAUUUUGGAGACAUUGUGACAUUUUGUGCCUCUCUGUCAUUUUAUCUAUUUAGUUGUCAAGCUUAUGGUUCGUUGCUGUUUUCAACUUUUCAUUUAGGGUCAUAAAGAAUGGCUUGCAGAGGUUCAAUUUCUUGGUGUGGUAAGUCACCCAAAUCUAGCAAAGCUUCUAGGAUAUUGCUCUAUAGAUGGAGAAAGAGGGAUCCAACGGCUAUUGGUAUGUGAAUAUAUGCCUAAUAGGAGCUUAGAAGAUCAUCUUUUCAACAGGGUUUUGAACCCUCUUCCUUGGAUCACGAGGUUACAAUAAUGCUUGGUGCUGCUCAAGCUCGGAUUGGCUUAUCUACACGAGGGACUGGAAGUCCAGGUGAUAUAUCGAGAUUUCAAAUCCUCCAACGUGCUCUUGGAUGAGGACUUUAAGCCGAAGUACUCAGACUUUGGGCUUGCUAGAUAAGGGCCAAAGGGUGACCGUACUCAUGUAUCGACAGCAGUAAGUAGAUAAUAGAUGACUUAUUUUAUUACUACCCCAAGUUCUUUUAGAAAUCAAUGUCAACUUCAUUUGGAGGUUGGCAGAAUCUUGUUUAAAUUGCAAUAUUGAGAGGACAAUUGGUAUUAGUUAUUAUUCGCC